UCCGGUAAGUGAAUAUAAUGAAAGUUCGAAGGAAGUAGACUUCAUUGAAUAUAGUCUCUUCCUCGUUCAGAAAACAAAACCAGAGCUUGGAAAGCUUUAUCCUGAACAAGUCAAGUUGUCAGAGGAAGAUAUUGAGCAAGCAAUCAUUAUGGCAACAAGACUAUUUAUAAUUUUGGUCCUUGUCCUUGUCUUGCUUUGCUGUUUACUUCUGGGUAACAUCGCUGCAAUUCCAGUUCGACGUCCAGACGGAUUGGCCGAAAAUCGAUCCAAUCGGGCAGUCGGCGACCUUCGAAGCUGUCUUUUGGCCUGUUCUGAGGGCACAGCUGCCAUUCAGGCAUUCUGCAGAACAAUCCCUUUGCCACGGGUGAGAGCGGCUUGUUGGGCAGUUCAGUUUGCUAGUGUGCCUGUGUGCAAUGGAUUUUGUUAUGCCUACUUUGGCUGAGUCAAUCUAUGCAGGUCUGAACAUCGCAACUCGUGGAUACUGAAAUUAAACAAAAUUAAAUCUUUGGGGAAAUACUUUGUCAAUAUAUUUCUGGAUAUGUAACUAUCUAUGUAAUCUUUAACAUGUAGUUGUGAGCAAAUCAAUAAAAUAGAUGUUCAACGCAAUA